UGGGGAAUAUUGGACAAUGGGGGGAACCCUGAUCCAGCCAUGCCGCGUGUGUGAAGAAGGCCUUAUGGUUGUAAAGCACUUUAAGCGAGGAGGAGGGUACUGGUAUUAAUACUACCAGCUACUGGACGUUACUCGCAGAAUAAGCACCGGCUAACUCUGUGCCAGCAGCCGCGGUAAUACAGAGGGUGCGAGCGUUAAUCGGAUUUACUGGGCGUAAAGCGUGCGUAGGCGGCUAAUUGAGUCGGAUGUGAAAUCCCCGAGCUUAACUUGGGAAUUGCAUUCGAUACUGGUUAGCUAGAGUGUGGGAGAGGAUGGUAGAAUUCCAGGUGUAGCGGUGAAAUGCGUAGAGAUCUGGAGGAAUACCGAUGGCGAAGGCAGCCAUCUGGCCUAACACUGACGCUGAGGUGCGAAAGCAUGGGGAGCAAACAGG
rnacentral:rRNA from 1 species